rnacentral:rRNA from 1 species
UACGGAGGGUGCGAGCGUUGUCCGGAAUCACUGGGCGUAAAGGGCGCGUAGGCGGCGCGGGCAGUCAACGGUGAAAGCUCGGGGCUCAACUCCGAGUCGGCCGUCGAUACUCCCGUGCUCGAGCACUGUAGAGGCAGGUGGAAUUCCGGGUGUAGCGGUGGAAUGCGUAGAGAUCCGGAAGAACACCGGUGGCGAAGGCGGCCUGCUGGGCAGUAGCUGACGCUGAGGCGCGAAAGCGUGGGGAGCGAACAGG